UAGGGAAUCUUCCACAAUGGACGCAAGUCUGAUGGAGCAACGCCGCGUGAGUGAAGAAGGUUUUCGGAUCGUAAAGCUCUGUUGUUGGUGAAGAAGGAUAGAGGCAGUAACUGGUCUUUAUUUGACGGUAAUCAACCAGAAAGUCACGGCUAACUACGUGCCAGCAGCCGCGGUAAUACGUAGGUGGCAAGCGUUGUCCGGAUUUAUUGGGCGUAAAGCGAGCGCAGGCGGAAUGAUAAGUCUGAUGUGAAAGCCCACGGCUCAACCGUGGAACUGCAUCGGAAACUGUCAUUCUUGAGUGCAGAAGAGGAGAGUGGAAUUCCAUGAGUAGCGGUGGAAUGCGUAGAUAUAUGGAAGAACACCAGUGGCGAAGGCGGCUCUCUGGUCUGCAACUGACGCUGAGGCUCGAAAGCAUGGGUAGCGAACAGG
rnacentral:rRNA from 1 species